rnacentral:rRNA from 1 species
ACAGGAUUAGAUACCCUGGUAGUCCACGCCGUAAACGAUGUCGACUUGGAGGCUGUUCCCUUGAGGAGUGGCUUCCGGAGCUAACGCGUUAAGUCGACCGCCUGGGGAGUACGGCCGCAAGGUUAAAACUCAAAUGAAUUGACGGGGGCCCGCACAAGCGGUGGAGCAUGUGGUUUAAUUCGAUGCAACGCGAAGAACCUUACCUGGCCUUGACAUCCAGAGAACUUUCCAGAGAUGGAUUGGUGCCUUCGGGAACUCUGAGACAGGUGCUGCAUGGCUGUCGUCAGCUCGUGUUGUGAAAUGUUGGGUUAAGUCCCGCAACGAGCGCAACCCUUAUCCUUUGUUGCCAGCGAUUCGGUCGGGAACUCAAAGGAGACUGCCGGUGAUAAACCGGAGGAAGGUGGGGAUGACGUCAAGUCAUCAUGGCCCUUACGGCCAGGGCUACACACGUGCUACAAUGGCGCAUACAAAGAGAAGCGACCUCGCGAGAGCAAGCGGACCUCAUAAAGUGCGUCGUAGUCCGGAUCGGAGUCUGCAACUCGACUCCGUGAAGUCGGAAUCGCUAGUAAUCGUGGAUCAGAACGCCACGGUGAAUACGUUCCCGGGCCUUGUACACACCGCCCGUCACACCAUGGGAGUGGGUUGCAAAAGAAGUAGGUAGCUUAACCUUCGGGAGGGCGCUUACCACUUUGUGAUUCAUGACUGGGGUGAAGUCGUAACAAGGUAAC